UACGUAGGGAGCAAGCGUUGUCCGGAUUUAUUGGGCGUAAAGAGCUCGUAGGCGGCUUAGUAAGUCAGGUGUGAAACCUCCAGGCUCAACCUGGAGACGCCACUUGAUACUGCUAUGGCUUGAGUUCGGUAGGGGACCAUGGAAUUCCUGGUGUAGCGGUGAAAUGCGCAGAUAUCAGGAGGAACACCGAUGGCGAAGGCAGUGGUCUGGGCCGAUACUGACGCUGAGGAGCGAAAGCGUGGGGAGCGAACAGG
rnacentral:rRNA from 1 species